rnacentral:rRNA from 1 species
UACGGAGGUCUCAAGCGUUGUUCGGAUUCAUUGGGCGUAAAGGGUGCGCAGGCGGUCGGAAAAGUCUGAUGUGAAAUACCGGGGCUCAACCCCGGAACGGCAUUGGAUACUAUUUGACUAGAGGACUGGAGAGGAUAUCGGAAUUCUCGGUGUAGCAGUGAAAUGCGUAGAUAUCGAGAGGAAGACCAGAGGCGUAGGCGGAUAUCUGGACAGUACCUGACGCUCAGGCACGAAGGCCGGGGGAGCAAACAGG